GGGAGUUUACGGGAGAUGGGAGGUAGAAUCCUUUGUUUGGUUCGUGGACAUGGGAGUUGAAGUGGGUAGGCGAAGGGGAAUUAAAAUGGUCAACUCCCCCAGAUCUCUUCCCUGGUGCGACCUGGCAAUUCAGUCGGGGAUAGGGAAUUAGGAAACAAUCGUUCUGUUGCACACGGCUGAGAUAAAAAAAGGGCCAGUAAAUUCCCAUCUCACAACCAAACGUGGGAUGGGGACUGAUAAUCCAUUUGCCAAGCCUAAUCCCUCAAUAAAUUCUCGCAUCUAAACUCCCAUUCCCUUUCCUUAUAUUUGCCAAACACGCUGUCUCUCUCUCACACAAAUCUUGUCUCUUUCUGUUUCAGAAACAACAGCACCAUGGAUCUCGAUGUGGAGCUCCACUACGGCCCGAUUUGACCUGGGAGCGACCAGAUCCGUGCGUCUCCGCCUCGCUCCACGUGCCUCCAUGGUCUGCCGUCUUCCCGAGCGCUGGCGCCGCGCGACCAGAUUCGUGCGUCUCCGCCUCGCUCCACGCGCCUCCAUGGUCCGCCGUCUUCCCGACCGCCGCCGCCGCACUCAGCCGCCGCUGUCCCAUGCCAUGGUCGCCUCCCUCCAGAACGACGUGCCGUGGUCGCCUCCCUGCCUCUCCCGCAAGUGGGCCUCUGCGUUUCUUUGCUUUUUUUCAGGACACUAGGUGCCGGGUUGGAGUUUUGGGACCGGAUGCGCCAAUAACAAGGGACCAAGGUGAUGAACUAACGGCACGGGCAGAAUGAUUCUUCAGGAUGAAUCAGAAACUGAAGAUGAUGAUACAAUGGACACAAAAGAAGCUUCCUCUGUCCUCAUCGCUGCACUGUAGUCUUUCAGCCAAGCUCUGGUGAAUGAUGACGGAGAAAAAGAUAUCGCGACAGAGGUUCAUGUCUUCUUGCGUCCAACCCUAGAUCACAGGGGCUCUCUUAUCAGCAAAAUAGCUACUCUAGAUGCGCAGAUGACGAUCUAGCCGCGGUUGUGCUUUAUCUCGUCGGGACGAAAUAGCCCUGACUUGUCCCUGCCGCCGCCGGUAGAGGCUACUUUCCAUAGGCCUAGGAAACAACAUGGACAUGCUGCCCUUUUUCCCAAUCAAAAUACUUCUGUGUGGAGAGCUCGGGCGUCGGUGGCUGUGUCGAAGCAGAGCUCGGUCAUCGGUGACAGCACGGCCGGCUGAUUUGCGACUGGUCGGAUGGCGAGCUUCACAUACCUGUGCGCGUACGCGUGGGUAACACACUAUAUUGGCCGCGCAAGAGCAAGUUCACAGUGAUUGCAAGGGAAGAGAUGUGCUGCACUUAUGUCUGUAAUCAGGGCAGAUCCAUAUCCAUUAUAUGCAUAUUUUGUUAGUACUAUUGUAAUUUAGCAAGUUCUUGUUCUUUCCGUAAGUUGUUUGCUGAACAUUUCAUGCCGCCUUGAGCAUGCAAAAGUACUUCUGAAUUUUGCAUGAUAUUUUGUUAGUCAUAAAUCACGUCACACACCA